rnacentral:ncRNA from 1 species
GGCUCUAGGCAGAGUUCACAUUGACAGGAAGAUUUGGCACCUCGAUGUUGACUCUUCGCCACCUGGGCCGGUAGUACGUUCCAAGGGUUGUGCUGUUCACCCCAUUAAAGCAGUACGUGAGCUAGGUUCAGAACGUUAUGAAAAAGUUC